rnacentral:misc_RNA from 1 species
UUUCCGUAGGUGAACCUGCGGAAGGAUCAUUAAAAAAUAUCGCUCGAUGAGAGUGUUUAAUAAUCAUCCUACCCUUUGUGAAUUUGUUGUUUGUAAUAAUUUUUUUUGAUUUUAAAAAAAUUAUUUAUGGUUUUGUCUAUCCCUAAAAUUGGUUUGUUUGUGAAAUGAAUCAAAUUUUAGGGAAUAGGCUUUCAUAAAUAAGUUUUUUUUAAAGUCUUAAAGACCUUUUUAAAAUUAAACUUUUGUAUUCAUUUGUCUAAAUUUUUUUAAAUAAUUUAAAAACAACUUUUGACAAUGGAUCUUUGGUUCUCGCAACGAUGAAGAACGCAGCAAAAUGCGAUAAGUAAUGUGAAUUGCAGAAUACGUGAAUCAUCAGAUCUUCGAACGCAUAUUGCACUUUUUAGUUUACUAAAAAAGUAUGUCUGUUUGAGUAUCAGUAAAAUAUCUCAUAAAAACAUUUUUUGUUUUUAUGUUAUGAGUGUUUUACAACGAUAAACAAGUUGUUUCACUUUAAAUUCAUUUUAAUUUAAGACAUUUAUGGUUUUAAUAAAAAAUUGGAUAAAAUUUUCCCGUAAAAAGGAAUAAACUUUUCAGUUUUUAAUUAUUACCAACAACGGUCCGAUUUAAAAGGAAAUUUUAUUUAAAUAACUUGAUCUCAAAUCAGAUAAGAGUACCCGCUGAACUUAAGCAUAUCAAUAAGCGGAGGAAAGAAACUAACAAGGAUUCCCUUAGUACGGCGAGUGAAGCGGGAAGAGCUCAAUUUGAAAUCUUCAAGUUCUACUUGACGAAUUGUAGUUUAAGAAGUGUUUUCUGUUAGAUGAGUAGCAAAAGUUCCUUGGAAUGGACAUAUAGAGGGUGAGAAUCCCGUAUUUGGUUAUUCAUUCUAGCUUUGUGAUACACUUUCAAAGAGUCGGAUUGUUUGGGAAUGCAGUCCAAAAUGGGUGGUAAUUUCAUCUAAAGCUAAAUAUUGGCGAGAGACCGAUAGCGAACAAGUACCGUGAGGAAAGAUGAAAAGAACUUUGAAAAGAGAGUUAAACAGUACGUGAAAUUGUCAAAAGGGAAGCGUUUGACACCAGUGUUGUUUUUCCGAAAAUCAAUUACGAAUGGCUUGAUUUUGCGUUGUAUUGACCUUAUCAGCUUCCUGCACUUUUUUCGAGUCUUUCUUAAUGCACUUUUGGUUAACAAGUCAACAUCAAUUUCUUUUGUUGUAAAAGAGUAUUCGGAAGGUGGCUUUCUUUUCGGAGAAAGUGUUUAUAGCCUAUACUUCUACAAUCGGAGAGAUUGAGGUCUGCAGCGUAGAUCCUUCGGGUUAGAUACACUUGUGCUAAGUUGUAGCUUUUCAUAGACACUUGUUGACUAUGUUUAGUCAUGCGGCUUACUCGCUUUGCUAUUUUACCUACGCUUAGGAUGUUG